UACGAAGGGGGCUAGCGUUGCUCGGAAUGACUGGGCGUAAAGGGCGCGUAGGCGGAUGGCACAGUCAGAUGUGAAAUUCCCGGGCUUAACCUGGGGCUGCAUUUGAUACGUGUUGUCUAGAGUGAGGAAGAGGGUUGUGGAAUUCCCAGUGUAGAGGUGAAAUUCGUAGAUAUUGGGAAGAACACCGGUGGCGAAGGCGGCA
rnacentral:rRNA from 1 species